CUCCCACCCACAAGGCCAAGCGGCAGCAGAUGGACCUCAUAGCCGAACUGAAGAAGAAGCAGCUGGUGAAGGAGCCCAUCAUUUACGAGGGGAAGGACGGAGCCAUCGAAGACAUCAUUACAGCGCUGAAGACUGUGCCUUUCACUGCUCGGACGGGCAAGCGCUCGUCUCGCCUCUUCUGCGACGCCAGCUUCAACGAAGAGAGCCCGCUGUAGAUUGGGGCUCAAGGCCUGAGGAGCCAGCCAUACCGGCGGGGGGACACCGGGCGGCACAGCGGCAGGAAACGGAUCGCCGGGCAAACGCUGCAGGUGACGGCCGACAUCUCGCUGUGAGGACCACGAAGGGCGAAGAGCC